UUUUUAUUUUUUAUAUAUUUAUUAUUAAAUUUAAUAAAAAUUUUAUUGGGGUGAUAAAAAAAUUUAAAAAACUUUUUGAUAUUUAUUCAUUAAUUUAUGUAAUUAUUUUAUAAACUUUAAAUUAAAAAUUUAGAUUAAAA
rnacentral:rRNA from 1 species